rnacentral:misc_RNA from 1 species
AAUAAUAAUAAUAAUAAUAAAAUAGAACCACAACAUUCACUCUUUUAAUUUCUUUGAUUUUGGAAGCCUUUGCAUCUUGCAGAAAUUCUCUGUUUGCAUUCCAUUUCUUCUAUUUCUUUCCAACUAUAUAUUUCCAUCCCUUUAUCAUAGACAAGUGAGAGAAUUUCUAUCCUACAUUUAAAAUGCACAACGAGAAACAGAAUUCAACAAAGCACACAUGCAAAGCCUCAUCAUUCCCAGCCACACAAAUGUCCAUAUAUGAAUGUAACACAUACAAGGCAUUGGCACAUGCAAAUGUUAAAAUAGUUGCCUUUAGCCAUUACAGUGACAUUAUGAAAUUUCAACAUAAGUAACAUGUAAUGUCAGGAAUACCUGGGGUAGUAACAUCAAGA